UAGGUGCUGUCAGUAUAGCUGAGGGAGAGAUUGCUGAUCCCCUGUGAGUUUGCAGACUGGGAUCUCCAGUGCCGCUGUGGAAAGAGCUGUGCUGUAGACAUUGCUGCAGUGGCAGGAAGCCCUAAGUAGCGGUGAGGUGGGUGUCUUCACUGAUACUCACCAAUGCUAUCAGCAGCGCCAGUGAGACCCAUGAGGCAACAUGUGCAGAGGUUCCUGAAGCUAACAGGGGCAGAGAAGGUCCGGCGCCGGUGGAAGAGACAUCUCCUUAGCAACCAGAGAAGCUGAGCUGGUUGGAGGGGGCAGAGCAGUGUCAGGGCAGUGUAAGCGCCACCAUUGAGCAGAGAGGAGACCUAAGCCCUGCUAAUCAUCCUGUCAGGGGCCAGAGGAGGAGUCAGGGGAUCAUCUUGCAGCAGCACCACUAGAUCGUAGACGUGUGCCACAAGAGUUCCUCAGAUGGUGAUGGAAUAGAGGGAGAGAAACCCAUGAAAGAAACCUUUAUAGGCUGAAUACACACUCCUAUUGUCUGAAAACAAUAGAUGAAAGGAUUAUGCUAAUAAACCAUGGUGCACCUAGGCGCAGCAGAGGAGGCUAGAUGAGUGAGGCUCCAUUUGUACUUGCAGAACUCUAACCCAACAUAUGCCCCCAUCACAGUAAGCACGAAUAAUAAUUCUUCUUUGCAGAAUAACCUGAAUAUAACAUGCAGAACAAGACUUAUAUUACAGAAUUCAACUUGGUGUCAUUUUCCUCAAAAUCUGGAUAUUCAUCAUUAGUUACCAGUGUUUUUUUUUUCCUAUAUGUGUUUGGAAUGAUCAUAAAUUCUAGUAUAAUAACAGUGAUAUAUAUGGAUGCUCAAUUACACAACCCCAUGUAUCUAUUUCUCUGUAAUCUGGCCUUAGUAGAUAUCUGUUAUACAACCACUACUGUCCCUAACCUGCUGUACAUGUUACUAUCUGGAGAUAACACAGUGUCCUUCAUACAGUGCUUCACCCAGAUGUUCUUUUAUACUUUGGCUGCUGGUGUAGAAGAUAUUCUAAUAUUCAUUAUGGCAUAUGACAGAUAUGUUGCUAUAUGUGAUCCUUUGCACUAUAAUAAUAUAUUAAAUAGGAGUCACUGUAUCUUAUUGACUUCUGGCACUUGGAUAGCAGGAAUCUUAAACUCAAUUUUGUUUACAAUUGAAGCCUCACACAUGUCCUUCUGCCAUUCACGUUCCAUACACCAGUUUUUGUGUGAGCCUAAAGCAAUGAUUAACAUCGCCUGUGCUGGCAGUGAGGAGUUUUAUAUUUUUGUCUAUGUGGAAUUUUUGAUAUUUGGAUUUUUCCCAGCAAUGUUCUGUUUCACAUCUUAUAUAAAAAUUAUCAGGGUCAUCUUACAGAUAAAAUCUAAGGACGGCAGAAAGAAAGCCUUCUCCACCUGCUCAUCCCACCUCACCGUUGUCAUUAUGUACAAUAUGGCAGGUUUAUGCGCAUACAUGAUGCCAACAUCAGGAUCCUCUAAUAUCCUGGAACAGGUGUUUACAGCACUGUACUCAGUUGUUACACCCAUGAUCAAUCCUCUCAUCUACAGCCUACGGAACAAAGAAGUGAAAAGUGCUCUGCUGAGAAGACUGGUGAUAAAUGUAAAUGUUGUAAAAAUAUCAAAUUAAACUGUAUUUAAUGC